rnacentral:rRNA from 1 species
AAUAGAUACCCAGGUAGUCCACGCCGUAAACGAUGAGUGCUAAGUGUUGGAGGGUUUCCGCCCUUCAGUGCUGCAGCUAACGCAUUAAGCACUCCGCCUGGGGAGUACGGUCGCAAGACUGAAACUCAAAGGAAUUGACGGUGGCCCGCACAAGCGGUGGAGCAUGUGGUUUAAUUCGAAGCAACGCGAAGAACCUUACCAGGUCUUGACAUCCUCUGCUACUCCUAGAGAUAGGAGGUUCCCCUUCGGGGGACAGAGUGACAGGUGGUGCAUGGUUGUCGUCAGCUCGUGUCGUGAGAUGUUGGGUUAAGUCCCGCAACGAGCGCAACCCUUGUCCUUAGUUGCCAUCAUUGAGUUGGGGCACUCUAAGGAGACUGCCGGUGAUAAACCGGAGGAAGGUGGGGAUGACGUCAAAUCAUCAUGCCCCUUAUGACCUGGGCUACACACGUGCUACAAUGGAUGGUACAAAGGGAAGCAAGACCGCGAGGUGGAGCCAAAUCCCGAGAAAGCCAUUCUCAGUUCGGAUUGGU